rnacentral:snRNA from 1 species
CAACAGUUUCUUAGCUCUAGCA